rnacentral:rRNA from 1 species
GACGAACGCUGGCGGCGUGCUUAACACAUGCAAGUCGUACGGUAAGGCCCUUUCGGGGGUACACGAGUGGCGAACGGGUGAGUAACACGUGAGUAACCUGCCCACAACUUUGGGAUAACGCUAGGAAACUGGUGCUAAUACUGGAUAUGUGCUCCUGCUGCAUGGUGGGGGUUGGAAAGCUCCGGCGGUUGUGGAUGGACUCGCGGCCUAUCAGCUUGUUGGUGGGGUAGUGGCCUACCAAGGCGGCGACGGGUAGCCGGCCUGAGAGGGUGACCGGCCACAUUGGGACUGAGAGACGGCCCAGACUCCUACGGGAGGCAGCAGUGGGGAAUAUUGCACAAUGGGCGCAAGCCUGAUGCAGCAACGCCGCGUGCGGGAUGACGGCCUUCGGGUUGUAAACCGCUUUCAGCAGGGGCGAAGCUUUUUGUGACGGUACCUGCAGAAGAAGCACCGGCUAACUACGUG